UACAGAGGUCUCGAGCGUUGUUCGGAUUCAUUGGGCGUAAAGGGUGCGUAGGCGGUCUAUUAAGUCAGCGGUGAAAUACUCCAGCUUAACUGGAGGGGUGCCAUUGAUACUGAUGGACUUGAGUCAAGUCGAGGUAGGCGGAAUUGACGGUGUAGCGGUGAAAUGCUUAGAUAUCGUCAAGAACACCAAUAGUGAAGACAGCUUACUGGGCUUAAACUGACGCUGAGGCACGAAAGUGUGGGGAUCAAACAGG
rnacentral:rRNA from 1 species